rfam:Camelus ferus unplaced genomic scaffold scaffold743, whole genome shotgun sequence.
GAGGGCAUAGCUCAAGUGGUAGAGCACAUGCUUAGCACGCAUGAGGUCCUGGGUUCAAGCCCCAGUGCCUCCU